rnacentral:rRNA from 1 species
GGGAAUAUUGGACAAUGGGGGCAACCCUGAUCCAGCAAUGCCGCGUGAGUGAUGAAGGCCUUAGGGUUGUAAAGCUCUUUCGACGGGAGCGAUGAUGACGGUACCCGUAGAAGAAGCCCCGGCUAACUUCGUGCCAGCAGCCGCGGUAAUACGAAGGGGGCUAGCGUUGUUCGGAAUUACUGGGCGUAAAGGGCGCGUAGGCGGCCGAUCAAGUCAGGCGUGAAAGCCCCGGGCUUAACCUGGGAACUGCGUUUGGGACUGGUUGGCUUGAGUUCGGGAGAGGAGAGUGGAAUUCCCAGUGUAGAGGUGAAAUUCGUAGAUAUUGGGAAGAACACCGGUGGCGAAGGCGGCUCUCUGGACCGAUACUGACGCUGAGGCGCGAAAGCGUGGGGAGCAAAC